rnacentral:tRNA from 1 species
AGCAUUACGCCGGAUGAACGGAAAUCAUUGAUGUUGAUUAAUAUGGAACAUUUAAUGUUUCUAGUGCUAC